rnacentral:rRNA from 1 species
GACGAACGCUGGCGGCGUGCUUAACACAUGCAAGUCGAACGGAAAGGCCCUGCUUUUGUGGGGUGCUCGAGUGGCGAACGAGUGAGUAACACGUGAGUAACCUGCCCUUGACUUUGGGAUAACUUCAGUUAACUAGGGCUACUAACGCAUAGGAUCUCCUUCUGCAUGAUGGGGGUGGGAAAGUUUCGGCGGUUGGGGAGGGACUGGGGGCUUAUCAUCUUGUUGGGGGGGUGGUGGCUUACCAAGGCUUUGACGGGUAGCCGGCCUGAGAGGGUGACCGGCCACAUUGGGAAUGAGAUACCGCCCAGACGCAUACGGGAGGCAGGAGCGGGGAAUAUUGCACUAUGGGCGGAAGGCUGAGGGAGCAACGCCGCGUGCGGGAUGACGGCCUUCGGGUUGUAAGCCGCUUUCGCCUGUGACGAAGCGUGAGUGACGGUAAUGGGUAAAGAAGCACCGGCUAACUACGUG